UACGUAGGCAGCGAGCGUUGUUCGGAGCUACUGGGCGUAAAGGGUGUGUAGGCGGUUUUCUAAGUUUGGUGUGAAAUCUCCCGGCUCAACCGGGAGGGUGCGCCGAAAACUGGGAGACUAGAGUGCGGGAUGGGAGAGUAGAAUUCCUGGUGUAGCGGUGAAAUGCGUAGAUAUCAGGAGGAACACCGGUGGCGAAGGCGGUUCUCUGGGCCUGUACUGACGCUGAGGAGCGAAAGCGUGGGGAGCGAACAGG
rnacentral:rRNA from 1 species